CCCUGCAGUUCUCGCCUGGAUUAGCAUCAGGGUUGAGCCUGGCCAGUAUCUGGAUGGGAGACCUUCUGGGGAAAACUAAGGUUGCUGCUGGAA
rnacentral:rRNA from 1 species